UGGGGAAUAUUGGACAAUGGGCGAAAGCCUGAUCCAGCCAUGCCGCGUGUGUGAAGAAGGUCUUCGGAUUGUAAAGCACUUUAAGUUGGGAGGAAGGGCAGUAAGCGAAUACCUUGCUGUUUUGACGUUACCGACAGAAUAAGCACCGGCUAACUCUGUGCCAGCAGCCGCGGUAAUACAGAGGGUGCAAGCCUUAAUCGGAAUUACUGGGCGUAAAGCGCGCGUAGGUGGUUCGUUAAGUUGAAUGUGAAAGCCCCGGGCUCAACCUGGGAACUGCAUCCAAAACUGGCGAGCUAGAGUAGGGCAGAGGGUGGUGGAAUUUCCUGUGUAGCGGUGAAAUGCGUAGAUAUAGGAAGGAACACCAGUGGCGAAGGCGACCACCUGGGCUCAUACUGACACUGAGGUGCGAAAGCGUGGGGAGCAAACAGG
rnacentral:rRNA from 1 species